rnacentral:rRNA from 1 species
UGAGAAUCUGCCUUGGGGUCGGGGACAACCACUGGAAACGGUGGCUAAUACCGGAUAAGCCUUUGGGUAAAAGAUUUAUUGCCCCAAGAGGAGCUCGCGUCUGAUUAGCUAGUUGGCGAGGUAAAAGCUCACCAAGGCAGCGAUCAGUAGCUGGUCUGAGAGGACGAUCAGCCACACUGGGACUGAGACACGGCCCAGACUCCUACGGGAGGCAGCAGUGGGGAAUUUUCCGCAAUGGGCGAAAGCCUGACGGAGCAAGACCGCGUGAGGGAGGAAGGCUCUUGGGUUGUAAACCUCUUUUCUCAGGGAAGAAGCUCUGACGGUACCUGAGGAAUCAGCCUCGGCUAACUCCGUGUCAGCAGCCGCGGUAAUACGGAGGAGGCAAGCGUUAUCCGGAAUUAUUGGGCGUAAAGCGUCCGCAGGUGGCGAUUCAAGUCUGCUGUCAAAGCACGGGGCUUAACUCCGUUAAGGCAGUGGAAACUGAAUAGCUAGAGUGCCGUAGGGGUAGAGGGAAUUCCCGGUGUAGCGGUGAAAUGCGUAGAGAUCGGGAAGAACAUCGGUGGCGAAAGCGCUCUACUGGACGGCAACUGACACUCAGGGACGAAAGCUAGGGGAGCGAAUGGGAUUAGAUACCCCAGUAGUCCUAGCUGUAAACGAUGGAUACUAGGUGUAGCUUGUAUCGACCCGAGCUGUGCCGAAGCUAACGCGUUAAGUAUCCCGCCUGGGGAGUACGCACGCAAGUGUGAAACUCAAAGGAAUUGACGGGGGCCCGCACAAGCGGUGGAGUAUGUGGUUUAAUUCGAUGCAACGCGAAGAACCUUACCAGGGCUUGACAUGUCCGGAAUCCCGGUGAAAGCUGGGAGUGCCUUCGGGAGCCGGAACACAGGUGGUGCAUGGCUGUCGUCGGCUCGUGUCGUGAGAUGUUGGGUUAAGUCCACGCAACGAGCCCAACCCUGAUGUUUAGUUGCCAGCAUUAAGUUGAACACUAUAGAGAGACCACCGGUGACAAACCGGAGGAAGGUGGG